rnacentral:lncRNA from 1 species
CCCAACACCAUAAAACUACUCUCUCCUCUCCCUCAAAACUUUCGGCCAAACACCCCUUGAUCAUCCAUCAUAUUUUUUGAUUUUGUUCUUCACAUUCCAACAUCAUACAAGUGUCAAGUGUCACGCAUAAGAAGGCUUGGUACACUCGGAGAUCGAAGGACCUCAUCCUCUAGCUUUUAUCCACUUCAUUUGCGCUUAGAUUCCUCCCUAGCCUCGAGCUAGUGGUAACUAAAGGUGGAUGUGCGCGUGGUCCUACGCAUGCUCGUUACGACGUUAA